UACAGAGGCCUCAAGCGUUAGGCGGAAUCACUGGGCUUAAAGCGUGUGUAGGCGGAUGGGUAAGUACCUUGUGAAAUCCCACGGCUCAACCGUGGAACUGCUCGGUAUACUGCUCGUCUUGAGCCAACUAGGGGCGACCGGAACAAACGGUGGAGCGGUGAAAUGCGUAGAUAUCGUUUGGAACGCCGAUGGUGAAAACAGGUCGCUGGGGUUGUGCUGACGCUGAGACACGAAAGCCAGGGGAGCGAACGGG
rnacentral:rRNA from 1 species